AGACAUUCUGCAGAGGGGGAGGGGCAGUGGGCAGCCGGUAGGGGUGGGGGACAUUCUGUGAAGGGCUUCGGCCAUUAGGCAGGAACCUGAGUUUCCCUUCCAACUGGAAGGCAGCAGCAGAGAUGGCGUGUGCCUCUUUAGGCAACUUUUAAAUUGUCCUUCUGACUCACAGCAAAAGCUUCUACCUGAUGUCCCCUUUACUUCCAUUCUUUAUCAACAGACCUACUUUCGUGCCAAUCAACCCAUGCUCCUUCCCACUUUGGCUCUUUCCCAGUCUUGACGAGUUUCAACAGCGGCCUCACUUCGUGAACAAAAUUCAAAACACAUCUUCAGUCUGAGAAACACGGGGGUUCUUAGGAAGGCAAGGGGACUGGGUGUUUGAAAUCAGAAUGGUCUCAGCCGAUCCAGACUAUUAGGUGGCUGUGUGCUUAUCAUUGUUUAGGAAGCAAUCCUUGUACCCCCAGGUACAUGCAGCCCUCUUCUGCUGUGCAACUCUACCUCAAUCUUAGCUGAGAAGAUCAACGGAGAGCAAUUCAAGCAAAAUCAUGGUAAACUUACCAAAACAAAACAAACCGUAAAUGCUUUGGAGAUCUUUCUGAGGACUUGAUCUUUUACCAUGGGGCAAACUUAAAUGAUUUUCAAUCAAUAACUUCAUCUAAGAGGGAUGUUGAAGCAAAAUACCAUACUCAGAUACUGAAGAAGGGCAGAAUUUUUGGUUGCUUCCUCCCUUGUCAAGUCAGUCAACUGAUGCUUUCUCAAGAUUCUCACACAUGGCUUUGAUACAGGAUUUGAAUGAGCCUUUUUCUGAGCCAGUGAUACUAAAAAUAUAUUGUGGAAGUUUCUUGUCUUAAUUCUGCAAUUGCUUCUGUACAUGUUUGAAGUCCUAGACCCCAGGAGGAGAGACAAUCAAAUUAGCAAAAGGUAAUUUGUGAAGACUGGCCAUGGGAGGUGGUGGCUAAAAGUCCUCCGGCCCCUGCUCUGUGAGCAUCCCCACAGAAAGUCCUGGGCCGCACUGACAGCUGAGAAAGAACAUCUCAGGGCUUGGAUCCCCUGUUCAGAGGACACAUGCUCCUCCACCCAGUAGAGGAAUGGCAGCUCCAUGCUGUGUCCUGCAGAGCUCUCAGUCUCUGCACUUGAGGCCCUGGACCUGCAUCAACGUGAAGGCUCUUCAGUGUAUCACGUGGAGACAGACGAUAGGAAUCCUGCAAAUGAGCAGAAAGGAUGUGACGAUUAAAGUUUUUUCUGAAGCUAUUACAAACUUAAGUCAGUGAGUUGCUUCUUUACUAGUUUUUUAUUGCCAACUGGAAUUCUACACUGUGUUGCAGAGUCAAGGGUGGGGAGCGUGAAAUUGUUCCCUUACUAUCUGCUGCUUUAUCGACUGAAAUUGAUCAAGGCUACAACAAAAACAUUUCUAGAAAUCAUUUGAAUGCGGUAGGAAAAACUCUGGGAAUGGAGUCAGAAGAAAGUAUAUUUUGGAGUGUGUUUUCAGGUCUAAAAUUCUUUGCCAGAAAUACUCUUUAAUGGAACCUCCAGACUGAGUAGGAAAACAGGGCAUACUAUUUUUUGAAAGGCAUGAGCAGGAAUGAAAUAAAUGCCAUCCAAAGGGAAUGCAAGACAUGCAAUUCGAGGAUACCUUGCUUUAGGAUAAACCCUCCAAAGGUAAACCUUUCAGCAAGGGUUUUACCUAAGUGCAUGGACUGCAGGAUUUAAACCUCAGACACAGGGAGCUGACCUAUUCACCUUAGAAUCCUCUGGGGCACCCAUUACAGUGUCUGUACCAAGGAGGCAACAAAGAACGGCGGAACAGACUGGAGCAGAAGGACAACCCAGCAGAGCCAAGCCAAAUCACUGACCCUCAGAGGCCUGAUGUGAAUGCUUAUGGCUUCAGUCCAUUGGAUUCUGCAGUAAUCUGCCGAUCUACAGUAUUACCACAGUAAAUAACCGAUAGACCUGAAAACGAAUGCAUGCCUCGUGCCAAAAUUGCAGGAAACCUCACCAGUAGAAACAAUUUUAUAUGAGGGAAUGUACUCUCUCCUUUGCAUUUUUCCUCAAAUCUAUAUUUUUAGCCCCUCACUUGUCUCUACAGAGCCUCAGUUGCUUAAUUUAAUUGCUGACUGAACAUCUCCAGGAAACUGUGUGUACGUGUUUGUAUUCAUCGUAUAUUUAUUUAUUAUCUGUUUACUUCCAUGGGAUAUAGUCUCCGUAAGAGAGUAGUCAUCAUUGUAUUUGUUGAUGCUUAAUAAAUAAUCAUUGAAUGGGC